rnacentral:rRNA from 1 species
GACGAACGCUGGCGGCGUGCUUAACACAUGCAAGUCGAACGGAAAGGCCCUGCUUUUGUGGGGUGCUCGAGUGGCGAACGGGUGAGUAACCCGUGAGUAACCUGCCCUUGACUUUGGGAUAACUUCAGGAAACUGGGGCUAAUACCGGAUAGGAGCUCCUGCUGCAUGGUGGGGGUUGGAAAGCUUCGGCGGGUGGGGAUGGACUCGCGGCUUAUCAGCUUGUUGGUGGGGUAGUGGCUUACCAAGGCCUUGACGGGUAGCCGGCCUGGGAGGGUGACCGGCCACAUUAGGACUGAGAUACGGCCCAGACUCCUACGGGAGGCAGCAGGGGGGAGUAUUGCACAAUGGGCGGGAGCCUAAUACAGCAACGCCGCGUGCGGGAAGUCGUCCUUCAGGUUGUGAACCGCUUUCGCCUAUGACGAAGCGUGAUUGACGGUAAUGGGUAAAGAAGCACCGGCUAACUACGUG